GCCGGGUGUGGUGGCUCACACCUGUAAUCCCAGCACUUUGGGAGGCCGAGGUGGGUGGAUCACCUGAGGUCAGGAGUUCGAGACCAGCCUGGCCAACAUGGUGAAACCCCAUCUCUA
rnacentral:SRP_RNA from 1 species